GCCUUCUUGAGUAAGAGAAUUUCUGCAAACCAGUUUUGUCCAGGUUUUUCUGAUGUUCCUUUGAGGAACUGACAUUGACAAUCCUGGACAUACAAGAAAAUCUGAUUGAGACCCUCUGGCUGAAAAUCUGAUUGAGACCUUCAGCUCUGAAAUCACGUGGACCCUUGAGACUUCUUGAACUUCAUGUUCAGGGGUCUUUCCCUCUGCAGUGA